AUUGAACGCUGGCGGCAUGCUUUACACAUGCAAGUCGAACGGCAGCGCGGGCUUCGGCCUGGCGGCGAGUGGCGAACGGGUGAGUAAUGCAUCGGAACGUACCCAGUCGUGGGGGAUAACACAUCGAAAGAUGUGCUAAUACCGCAUACGUCCUGAGGGAGAAAGCGGGGGACCUUCGGGCCUCGCGCGAUUGGAGCGGCCGAUGUCAGAUUAGCUAGUAGGUGGGGUAAAGGCCCACCUAGGCGACGAUCUGUAGCGGGUCUGAGAGGAUGAUCCGCCACACUGGGACUGAGACACGGCCCAGACUCCUACGGGAGGCAGCAGUGGGGAAUUUUGGACAAUGGGGGCAACCCUGAUCCAGCCAUGCCGCGUGAGUGAAGAAGG
rnacentral:rRNA from 1 species